CAUAUUUAAGCGUUUGGAAUUUCUACGUGUUGCGCGGACUCUUUUCAUCCUGCAGGAGUGCAAGAAGUGUAAGAUCAAGCGGCCACAAUGUCCGGUAACUUUAAUUAUGCCAUGGCUUCGUCCUGCUUCCCAUGGCGUCCAAUAUUUCCCGUGGCGCUGCGAUUGCCCGACAUAUUGAAUCGUCUUCGCCCAUUGCAGCAACGACUGCCACCAGUCGCACCACAUCCGCCAGAAUAAUCUCUAAAAAAAAAGAGGACAUGGCUGUCGUGAUGUCCACAUCCCUAGUUGCUGUGCCCGGCACUCCACUACGAAAUUAUUCCCAUUCUGUUCGUACAUUUCCGUCGCCCCAGGGGCGAGUACUGUGUCCAGAAGAACAGAUUCACCUGCUGGGACGCUUUUCGGCAGCAUGAGAAGUAAUUGAAGUCUGCACUGAUACCACACACUGGCAAAAAGCAGACCAACCGCAGGUGAUUCCUGCGCUAAUGGAGCGAGUACGAGGGCCAACAAUCACUCCAAGCUGCAGCUGCCACAUGCUCCACGAUCGUGGCCAGCCUGAGGAACAACAGCAGCACAGCCCAGCGGAAACAGUCGCUGGAGACGCUGGC